rnacentral:lncRNA from 1 species
AUGCUUUUAUAGCACACACUUAAAUUACAUUGAAAUAAUCUUAACAAUUGCAAGGGUCACAGGUGCAGUUUGAUCCACACUUGCACCCAUUUCCUCCUUCUGCUGCUUUCUCUCCGAAUUCCACAAAGCUGCACAAUUUCAAGUAAUCUUUUUUUGAGUUUAAAUUUUAUAUACUUCACAAAGCUGCACAAUUUCAAGUAUAUGUUUUUAGCUUUCUAGUUUCUAAUUUUUAUUUCUUUUUUGGAGUUAAUUAGUUUCACUGGAGACAACUUAUAUAUGUUUUUUUUUGUUAAAAACAUAGAAAGAUAAAAUUAGACGUACUUGUUCAUGGGAGCAACACCCUGAAUGAUGGUAAAAGUAGCGGACUUCUCCAAGUCUGGGUACAUCCCACACCUACAAUAUCAUCAAAAAACACAAGUAAUAAACAAAUUGAUGCUAUCUUUAUAUAGUUUUUCUGUUGGGGUGAAAAAGAAGAAAAAAUGGGUCAGGCAGCCGGGCAAAUUAAUGGCGGAUCCUGUCUGAACUCAUUAGUAUAUUUGACGAAAACUAUGCAUACAGUACAUGCGAAAAAGAAUAAAAGUUUAUACAUAUAAUAAGUUGAUGCUUAUUAUGAACCUAGUGACUCUAUUUCGAUAUCUGUUUGCUUAAACUAAUGAAUGAUCGUACGGAAUCAGAACUUACCCUCCGCAACCGUUACCGCACUUGCAGCCAGAUCCACAGCCACAGCUUCCUCCGCAGCAAGACAUGUUUCUUUUGUUAAUCGUUGGGAUGAGAUCUUUAAUUUGUUGUAAUUAAAUGAAAGUUUAAUCACUAAAGCAAGUUCUUCUUGUAUUUGUGAUGAACACAGUUUGGGGGGGGGAUUUUAUAGGAGAAAGGAGGAUAUGAUAUUACAAUUGGUGAUUGUGUGGAUGACACGUUGACAAUAUAAUUAAUUGGGAAUUUCUAUGCCAGUGUUUAAUAAUAUUUUGAAUAUCUUAUUAGAGGAGAAAGGCAUGAAGCUUGCUGCUAUAGAGAGUUUGAGAAUGAGAAUUACAUUUAUUUAAUUUCUUAGUCCUAAGGUGGGUGCUUCAUGCUAAGUUAUUUUGUUAAAGAUAAAGUACGCCAAUGGCCCUUAAAUGUCGGCUGCAUAAGUAUUUAGUCCUUAAUUACAAACAACAACAACAGCUACCCAGUAUAGUCUCACAAAGUGGGAUCUGGGGAGGGUAAUACGUAGACGAGCCUUACCCCUAUCCGAAAGGGCAGAGAGGCCGUUUCCAAUCGACCAUCGGCUCAGUGAAAGAAAAGAAACACAAAAACAAAAACAAAAGAGCAUUAGUAACUCCAGCAGAAAUAGCGUAAAUAAUUAUCUAAACAUAAGAACCAUAAAUAAAAUAGCAUACAAUAGUAACUACCAUAAAUAACUAUUAUAAAGGGAAUUCAAAACACAAAUCAUCUAUGGAUAAUCCUUAAUUACGUUUUGGAGAAUAAAUGUUGUGUUUCUGUUUUCAUGUGAUAUUAUUUUCUCGUCGCUUAAACAAGAAUGUUAUACUAUUAUAUUUGAAAUAAUUUAAUUCUUAACUUUUUGUUUAAUGUAUAAUUUUUAUAAUCAUAUAAAUGUUACAAGUUUCAAAAGAUUACAAUUGUACAAAUUUUAUGACACAUACAAGAAGAUAAUUUUGAAAAAUCUGUCUUUUUUUCUUAAAUUUCUUGCUGAGUCAAACCACACCAUAUAUUUAUAAAAAGGAUCGGAGUUAUAAUCUUAACACUUUCGUUAAGUACCAUUAAAUAUUCCUUUAACGUUCAUUAAACACUGCUAAUGUAGUGAAAUUUUUGAAGAGCAUAUCAAAAUUCACUUAUUAACUCAAGCAACUAAGAAAAGAGGCUCUAUAUCUGAACAUUAGUUUUUUUUUUUUUUUUGAACAUUAGAUUUAAGCUUUAUGCACUAGCCACUACUUUAUUUCCUAUAGUGAUACACUUUCUCUUCUUAACGCUCCACCCCAUGUAUAGGGUAAACUUUGGGUCACGGGCUGCUAGUCAUUUUAACAACAAAUAGAAGGAUUAUGAUAUUUUUUUAAAUAGAAACAAAAAAAGAUAAAUCAUUAAAGUUUAUGGUGGAAUAAAUAUAUAAUGUUCUUUUACCCUUAAUCAGAGAGUAUGAGUUUGAGUCGCGAGGAUGAAAAAAAUUCUGGUAAUAAAUAUUAUGUGUCUUGAAUUUGAAUUAUUAGACCCCAAUGCAAGUAAAGAACACUUAAGUAUAAAAGGAAAACAAAGAUGCUAAAAAGCUAAAUAAUAAUCAAAUAUGAAUUUCCAUCAAGGAAAUAAAAGAUAUAAAAACAUUUGAAUAUAUUUUAAUUAACUAAACAUGUUACCAUCAAGAGGUGUGGUGGAAUAGUAAAGGUUCCUCCAAUAUUAAAUAAUUUUUUAAAAUUUUGGUCACGGGAAUGGAGUUCUGUAUAGGCAACACCCCUAUAGUUAAUUAGGAAAAGAGAUUUCUACUCUUAUGUUUUUAAGAGUUUAAGAUCACGAUUAUCGUAUCGGUAAGUAGUUAAGUGUCAUCCUAUUUAAAGUUAAAGGAAUACUAGUUCAAUAUAUUUAUAACCCAUAUGUAUUACAAGCAUUUCCCUUUCAGGUAUUAUACUUCACAAUUUGUUUUUAUUUUUGUUUUUGUUUUUAUUUUUGUUUUUGUUUUUUCUCUCCUUCACUGAGCCGAGGGUCGAUUGGAAACAGUCUCUCUGCCCUUUCGGGUAAGGGUAAAGUUCGUCUACAUAUUAUCUUCCCCGGACAUUACUAGAUAGUUGUUGUUGUAAUAUUAUACUUCACAAUUAUACCUAAGGUCAAAAGGCGUGGUGAAAUUUUCAACUCUAACCACUGACAUUUAGGAUCGGCAUUAAUCUAGGAUUUAUGGACUUUUUUCGCUUUACCAUAUUAAAUACUAACAUUAUCCAAUUGGUAUUGUAUUGUUUGAGACUUGUAGAGAGCAACUUCUUAUAUUUAAUUUGAUUCCAAUUGCUUUUGAUAAAUGUAGACCAUUUAUUUUGUUCAGUUAAAUAAUUCCUAAAAGCAUCGACAAGAUCACCAAUUAUUUUUGUAUCGUCUCAAUCAAUCCAACUAUCAAGUAGGCUUAUUUGGAGUGUUAGAUUCUCGAAAAACUCUGCAACGUAAUGACCAGAGAAAAGGUCUUUGUUAAAUUCUCCAUAUCUUAUUUUGAUGGUAGCAAGACUAUAAAGAGGUUCUUAGAUUUAACAAUUAUAAAAACUUUGAACUAGCAGGUAGGCGUUUAAAAAAAGGACUAAAUUAAAGAGCCAUAAAAUGAGCAUGAAAUAUGUAUUCAUACCUCCAAAGGUUAUGAUGUAAUAAUAUUAAUUUUUUUUAUUCUUAACUAGAAAUCUCGAGUUUAAAUUCUGAAAAUAAAAUCCCUUUUAAUAGAUGGAAUGAUAAAGGUAUGUUCGACUCCUGAGAUCUUGAAUUAAAUUUUAUAGUACAAAUUUAAAUAAGUGAGGCUAGUGAAUUUCAUAUACUAUACAACAUCAUGUUCAUGUACAGCAUUAACUUCUUUAAACUUUAUGAAGUAUUGCUCAUAUGCAUAAGAAACCGUCUUUCUACCAUUUCAACUCGAUUGAGAGCUCUGAAAAUUAAACUAAUAUUUGUUUGCUCAUAACGUGCCAAACAAUAAGUAGGCAACCUAAUUCCAAAGUCAAAAAAUAGAGGAUCUUUUUUCUCUAUAAUGGCCGUGGCCAAUGAAGGGGAGCCUUGGCGACCCAUAACUGAUAAAGUAGUUUUUAUGUGAGCAGAAGAUUACGAGUUCAAGCUGUGAAAAUAGCAUCUUCCAAAAAUACAGAGUAAGACUGCGUAUAAUAGACUCUUAUGGUCCGGCUCUUUCCGAACCUUACGCAUAGCGAGAGCUUAAUACAUUGAGUUCCCAUAACGAUGUUGGCCGUUAAAGCUUGUGCACAACUCGACUAUAUCAUUGGGUAUUUGCCAGCUCCUAUUGAUAAAGGUACCGGACAACUUUGCUUAUCAAAAUUAAAUCAAAUAAGAAGAAAUACCUAGUAUUUUUUUUCCUUUCUAAAUAAGAAAAUUACCUAGUAUUUUUUUCGCUUUGAUGCUAGGAUUUAUACGUAGGUCUCCAAAAUUUUACAUCCGUUGCCAAAGAAGCUAAUGUUAAAAGGUAUUUCAUUUUCAAAGGGAAAGGAUACUGAAGCGGAUAACCAAAUGAUAAAGCUUUUUUCUUCUUUUUUUUCCCUUGUUUUUCAACUCAUAAAGCUUAGAUGACAAUAAAAUAGCGUCCUAAUGAAGAACAAUGCCAUCUAAUUUCAGUCUAGCUUCUCCCCGGUGGUAUUUCAGUAAAUAUUUAUUGAUGUUUAUAUCAAUUCAUUAAAUACAUGACACAUGUUUCACAAAAUAAUUAUCACUAAAGCAUAAUUCAUUAAUUGAUACAACUUUUUUCCUUCAAUUAUGACUUAACCAUUUUAGUCUUGAUUAUUAAUUUAGUCUAUCAGGUCGAAUGAACCUGUACUUAACAUUAUUAGUAUUUACGUCAAAUAUACCAAAAUAGUGCGCCAAAUAUUCGUCAAAGUUAUGACCACAAGAGCAUGAGUCGUGAUGUAUUUGCAAAUUCCACAAAUCGAAUUGUGAAACGGAAGUGCAAACUUUCUCCGCUUUGAUCUUUCAGAUUUUGCAUUUGCAAUUUCGUGUCCAAUAUUAACUAUAUAUCUCGCUUUAUACUUCAAUAUUAUUGAAGUAAGAAAAUUAUUAACAGAUGAAAAAUACGUACGGUACUGCAUGCAAAAGAAAUAUGAGAGAUUUCAGAAGCAAUAAAGGAACGAAUUAACAAACUUAUACGUAAUGGAUAUAUGAUACGUUUCUGUUACAUUACACCCCAAAUCACGCUAUCAGAUAGAGAAACAAAAAGGGAAACUGAUCAGAACACACAAACCUAAUAAGAACUGACAAUCAGUUCCAUGGCUAGCUGUAGUCUUAUCCUUAUUAUUACAGAAAACACACACAUUAUUGUGGAGGAAUAUCACAAGAGAAUAAUCUUAACAAUUGCAAGGGUCACAGCUGCAGUUUGAUCCACAUUUGCAUCCAUUUCCUCCUUCUGCUGCUUUCUCUCCAUAUUCCUCAAAGCUGCAACAUUUCAAGUAAUUAA